rnacentral:rRNA from 1 species
GACGAACGCUGGCGGCGUGCUUAACACAUGCAAGUCGAACGGAAAGGCCCUGCUUUUGUGGGGUGCUCGAGUGGCGAACGGGUGAGUAACACGUGAGUAACCUGCCCUUGACUUUGGGAUAACUUCAGGAAACUGGGGCUAAUACCGGAUAGGAGCUCCUGCUGCAUGGUGGGGGUUGGAAAGUUUCGGCGGUUGGGGAUGGACUCGCGGCUUAUCAGCUUGUUGGUGGGGUAGUGGCUUACCAAGGCUUUGACGGGUAGCCGGCCUGGGAGGGUGACCGGCCACAUUGCGACUGCGGUACGGCCCAGACUCCUACGGGAGGCAGCAGUGGGGAAUAUUGCACAAUGGGCGGAAGCCUGAUGCAGCAGCGCCGCGUGCGGGAUGACGGCCUUCGGGUUGUAAACCGCUUUCGCCUGUGACGAAGCGUGAGUGACGGUAAUGGGUAAAGAAGCACCGGCUAACUACGUG